rnacentral:sRNA from 1 species
UGGAGGGAAGCUCAGAACCUGCCCCUUGCCUGAUUUUCUGUGGGAAGUGUCCUUUUCAGGCUGUGACACAGCACGAUACAGAGUUUUGUCUGAGGAGAUGCAACCCCAAGUGUUCUCCUGGGUUUGAUGGCAAUGACAGUAACCUGGAAAGAAUAUACAGGUUAGGAUGGACUGGACAAUUGAGCAGAUUGUGUGCAGAUAACUUCUGGGUAGCUUGGGUGCUGUCACCAAAGUUUUCCCAUCAGUUGGCAUUUGUUUUUUCUUUUAAAAAGCUGAAAUCUAUACCUUGCUUCAAAAAUCGUAGGGCAAAUGAAGCGCAACAGAGGGGAAGAAAUAGAUUUUGAGACACCUGGGUCCAUUCUUGUCAACACCAACCUCCGUGCCCUGAUCAACUCUCGGACCUUCCAUGCCUUACCAUCACACUUCCAGCAGCAGCUCCUCUUCCUCCUGCCUGAAGUAGACAGACAGGUGGGGACGGAUGGCCUGUUGCGUCUCAGCAGCAGUGCACUAAAUAACGAGUUUUUUACCCAUGCGGCUCAGAGCUGGCGGGAGCGCCUGGCUGAUGGUGAAUUUACUCAUGAGAUGCAAGUCAGGAUACGACAGGAAAUGGAGAAGGAAAAGAAGGUGGAACAAUGGAAAGAAAAGUUCUUUGAAGACU